GAUAAAGAACGCAGUGAAAUGCGAUAAGUAAUGUGAAUUGCAGAAUUCAGUGAAUCAUCGAAUCUUUGAACGCACAUUGCGCCCGCCAGCACUCUGGCGGGCAUGCCUGUUCGAGCGUCAUUUCAACCAUCAAGCCCCCAGGGGCUUGUGCUGGGGCCCUGCGGCUGCCCGCAGGCCCUGAAAACCAGUGGCGGGCUCGCUAGUCACACCGAGCGCAGUAGCACAUCUCGCUCAGGGCGUGCGGCGGGCUCCUGCCGUGAAACCCCCCACUGUAACCCCAAAGGUUGACCUCGGAUCAGGUAGGAAUACCCGCUGAACUUAAGCAUAUCAAUAAGCGGAGGA
rnacentral:misc_RNA from 1 species